CCGCUUUCGGGCGGGGAUUAGUGGCGAACGGGUGAGUAACACGUGGGCAAUCUGCCCUGCACUCUGGGACAAGCCCUGGAAACGGGGUCUAAUACCGGAUAUGCGGCGGUGCAGGAUGAGCCCGCGGCCUAUCAGCUUGUUGGUGAGGUAGUGGCUCACCAAGGCGACGACGGGUAGCCGGCCUGAGAGGGCGACCGGCCACACUGGGACUGAGACACGGCCCAGACUCGGGAGGCAGCAGUGGGGAAUAUUGCACAAUGGGCGAAAGCCUGAUGCAGCGACGCCGCGUGAGGGAUGACGGCCUUCGGGUUGUAAACCUCUUUGGAAGAAGUGACGGUACCUGCAGAAGAAGCGCCGGCUAACUACGUGCCAGCAGCCGCGGUAAUACGUAGGGCGCAAGCGUUGUCCGGAAUUAUUGGGCGUAAAGAGCUCGUAGGCGGCUUGUCACGUCGGUUGUGAAAGCCCGGGGCUUAACCCCGGGUCUGCAGUCGAUACGGGCAGGCUAGAGUUCGGUAGGGGAGAUCGGAAUUCCUGGUGUAGCGGUGAAAUGCGCAGAUAUCAGGAGGAACACCGGUGGCGAAGGCGGAUCUCUGGGCCGAUACUGACGCUGAGGAGCGAAAGCGUGGGGAGCGAACAGGAUUAGAUACCCUGGUAGUCCACGCCGUAAACGGUGGGCACUAGGUGUGGGCAACAUUCCACGUUGUCCGUGCCGCAGCUAACGCAUUAAGUGCCCCGCCUGGGGAGUACGGCCGCAAGGCUAAAACUCAAAGGAAUUGACGGGGGCCCGCACAAGCGGCGGAGCAUGUGGCUUAAUUCGACGCAACGCGAAGAACCUUACCAAGGCUUGACAUACACCGGAAACGUCUGGAGACAGGCGCCCCCUUGUGGUCGGUGUACAGGUGGUGCAUGGGCUGUCGUCAGCUCGUGUCGUGAGAUGUUGGGUUAAGUCCCGCACGAGCGCACCCUUGUCCGUGWUGCAGCAGGCCUAUGGUGCUGGGAACUCACGGGACACUGCGCUCAGGUCAACUAAGUAGAAAGGGUGGA
rnacentral:rRNA from 1 species